rnacentral:rRNA from 1 species
UUAGUGCCUUCGGGAACGUCUGAGACAGGUGCUGCAUGGCUGUCGUCAGCUCGUGUUGUGAAAUGUUGGGUUAGUCCCGCAACGAGCGCAACCCUUAUCCUUUGUUGCCAGCGAGUAAUGUCGGGAACUCAAAGGAGACUGCCGGUGAUAAACCGGAGGAAGGUGGGAUGACGUCAAGUCAUCAUGGCCCUUACGAGUAGGGCUACACACGUGCUACAAUGGCAUAUACAAAGAGAAGCGAACUCGCGAGAGCAAGCGGACCUCAUAAAGUAUGUCGUAGUCCGGAUUGGAGUCUGCAACUCGACUCCAUGAAGUCGGAAUCGCUAGUAAUCGUAGAUCAGAAUGCUACGGUGAAUACGUUCCCGGGCCUU